AACGCGAAGAACCUUACCUAGGCUUGACAUGUACGUGAAGAUCUUGAGAGAUCAGGGUCGCCCUUCGGGGCGCGUACACAGGUGCUGCAUGGCUGUCGUCAGCUCGUGUCGUGAGAUGUUGGGUUAAGUCCCGCAACGAGCGCAACCCUUGUCCUAUGUUGCCAGCGGGUAAUGCCGGGGACUCGUAGGAGACUGCCGGGGUCAACUCGGAGGAAGGUGGGGACGACGUCAAGUCAUCAUGCCCCUUACGUCCAGGGCUGCACACAUGCUACAAUGGCCGGUACAACGGGCUGCUAAUCCGCGAGGAGGAGCCAAUCCCCAAAGCCGGUCUCAGUUCGGAUUGGAGUCUGCAACUCGACUCCAUGAAGUCGGAGUCGCUAGUAAUCCCGGAUCAGCAACGCCGGGGUGAAUACGUUCCCGGGCCUUGUACACACCGAUAGC
rnacentral:rRNA from 1 species